AAGUCGUAACAAGGUUUCCGUAGGUGAACCUGCGGAAGGAUCAUCAAUGAAGGCCUAACCAAGUUUUGGCAGUAAACGCCGAAAUUUCACCAUUAAAUCCCCAGAGUUAACUUUUGGGGUCAGCCGAAAACCGUCGCUGGUUCGGCUGGGUUGUGCACUUUUUUUUUGUGCACGCCGGACAGGCUAGGCGACGCGCAUAUUUAUUAUGCACACACACCUGUUCCCGGAUUGAGUUUGGUGGACACUCGCCGGGCAACUUGGAUUCCAAAACCAACCAACACAAAACAACUUUCGGCAACGGAUCUCUCGGCUCUCC
rnacentral:misc_RNA from 1 species